UUGCGGAUCAGGCUGACUACGGUCUCCUGAAUCCUGCCAGGAAUUGCGGAUCAGGCUGACUACGGUCUCCUGAAUCCUGCCAGUUUGCGGCUCGGAUACACUAUGUGUCGCCGAGACCUGCCAGGGGAAUUGACGAAUUUACAGAGGAAUUGACGGAAAUUAAAAGGGUACACACCCAGUUGGUAACUUUAGAGGAAUGUCAGUGCAAUUAUGCAAAUAUUGAUUUCAGUGAUUUUACUUGAGUUUCUUAAUAUCGAGCAGUAACGGUAUAUAUACGUUUACCUAAAUGCUUUGGACUUAUCAUAAUUCAAGUGCAGUUUAAAUAUUCAGUCGUAUGAUUAUCAUUAUUUUUACAGUGGGGGUUAUUAUGUUCAUAUACUGUUUUCUAGAACUUUAUUUUGGUCCACUCACACUUUGAAAUGUUUUGCGCCCCCCCAGGCAGUCGAGUGUGCAGGAAUCCACCACCAGGCCAUCUCCUAGCUCCCACGCUAUUUCCAAGCUGUAGGAUUUCUUGUAACCUACUUAAAUUCUUGUAAACAAUUAGUAACUGCUCUGAUAUCUGGUUGGAUUAGAUAACCAGAACUGGUGAAUAUUUAGUUACCCUAUUCUGGCAGUUGGUGUGGAUUUAUCAGUUUGUUUGACAGGUGGAAAAUUUGGGUUUAGUCAAAUUACAGGGGAGUCUCUGCCGAAAUUAAAGCAGGAGUCCAGAGAAAGUUUUAACCAUAUUUAUCUCCAGGAAGGGUAAAGAGGUCAUUGUGCCCGACAAUUGCCAGGUGUCGGACACGCACAGGGCUUGGCUCGAAUUACCUAGUGACAGUUUGGUAAUUUGUGUUAGGGAAGUUGAGCUUUCACAUUUGGGAAAUGUUCUCAAAAUAUAGCGUGUUCCCAAAGUUUUGGAAAAUUUAAUACUAAUUUUUGGCUAUGGAAUUAUAGUAAAAAUAAUUUCUAAUUAAAAUAUUCUAUCACCUCAAAAAAAUAAAAAAAUAAAAAAAUUUAGUCCCAGUCCAAACAUAGAUCAAACAAAGGAUAGUACCAUUUUCGUUAUCCAGCUUCUUAGUUCGACAUUACACCAAACGCAGGACAAGUCUUAUCCAGCUUAUGCCAGGCCCUGCAAAUCCAAAAC
rnacentral:lncRNA from 1 species